rnacentral:rRNA from 1 species
UACGCAGGUGGCAAGCGUUGUCCGGAUUUAUUGGGCGUAAAGGGAGCGUAGGCGGACUUUUAAGUGAGAUGUGAAAUACCUGGGCUCAACUUGGGUGCUGCAUUUCAAACUGGAAGUCUAGAGUGCAGGAGAGGAGAAUGGAAUUCCUAGUGUAGCGGUGAAAUGCGUAGAGAUUAGGAAGAACACCAGUGGCGAAGGCGAUUCUCUGGACUGUAACUGACGCUGAGGCUCGAAAGCGUGGGGAGCAAACAGGAUUAGA